ACUUGGGAUCACGCCUUGCAGGGGUAGGCCUGAUCAGUACUUGGCUGGGAGACUUCCAAGGAGCACCCAGGGUCUCCAGGU
rnacentral:rRNA from 1 species